AGGACGAACGCUGGCGGCGUGCCUAACACAUGCAAGUCGAACGGAGCCCGCAAGGGUUCAGUGGCGAACGGGUGCGUAACACGUGAGGAACUUGUCCAUCGGCGGGGGAUAGCCGGCCCAACGGCCGGGUAAUACCGCGUACGCCGUCCGGAGCGCAUGCUCUGGCCGGGAAAGCAGCAAUGCACCGAUGGAGAGCCUCGCGGCCUAUCAGCUAGUUGGUGGGGUAAUGGCCUACCAAGGCGACGACGGGUAGCUGGUCUGAGAGGAUGACCAGCCACAUUGGGACUGAGACACGGCCCAGACUCCUACGGGAGGCAGCAGUGGGGAAUAUUGCGCAAUGGGCGAAAGCCUGACGCAGCGACGCCGCGUGUGGGAUGACGGCCUUCGGGUUGUAAACCACUGUCGCGAGGGACGAAGAUCUGACGGUACCUCGAAAGGAAGCACCGGCUAACUCUGUGCCAGCAGCCGC
rnacentral:rRNA from 1 species